UACGUAGGGUCCGAGCGUUGUCCGGAAUUACUGGGCGUAAAGAGCUCGUAGGUGGUUUGUCGCGUUGUUCGUGAAAACUCACAGCUUAACUGUGGGCGUGCGGGCGAUACGGGCAGACUGGAGUACUGCAGGGGAGACUGGAAUUCCUAGUGUAGCGGUGGAAUGCGCAGAUAUCAGGAGGAACACCGGUGGCGAAGGCGGGUCUCUGGGCAGUAACUGACGCUGAGGAGCGAAAGCGUGGGGAGCGAACAGG
rnacentral:rRNA from 1 species